rnacentral:rRNA from 1 species
UACGUAGGGGGCUAGCGUUGUCCGGAAUCAUUGGGCGUAAAGCGCGUGUAGGCGGUCCGGUAAGUCCGCUGUGAAAGUCGGGGGCUCAACCCUCGGAUGCCGGUGGAUACUGUCGGGCUUGAGUACGGAAGAGGCGAGUGGAAUUCCUGGUGUAGCGGUGAAAUGCGCAGAUAUCAGGAGGAACACCAAUUGCGAAGGCAGCUCGCUGGGACGGUAUUGACGCUGAGACGCGAAAGCGUGGGGAGCAAACAGG